CCUACGGGUGGCAGCAGUGAGGAAUAUUGGUCAAUGGGCGCGAGCCUGAACCAGCCAAGUAGCGUGAAGGAUGACUGCCCUACGGGUUGUAAACCUCUUUUAUAAAGGAAUAAAGUGAGGUACGUGUGCCUCUUCGUAUGUACUUUAUGAAUAAGGAUCGGCUAACUCCGUGCCAGCAGCCGCGGUAAUACGGAGGAUCCGAGCGUUAUCCGGAUUUAUUGGGUUUAAAGGGGGCGUAGAUGGGUUGUUAAGUCAGUUGUGAAAAUUUGCGGCUCAACCCUAAAAUUGCAGUUGAUACUGGCUGCCUUGAGUAGGGUUGAGGUAGGCGGAAUUCGUGGUGUAGCGGUGAAAUGCUUAGAUAUCACGAAGAACUCCGAUUGCGAAGGCAGCCUACU
rnacentral:rRNA from 1 species